CUGCCAUCUGAAGGAAUUGGCUCUCCCAGUCCUCUUAGCUAUCAGAGUAACCAUCAUCUGACUAAAUGGUAUCACUGGCUGAGCACCAUAUAUUGCCCACAAGGAGGUACACAUUGCUGUGUGUAUGGAGUCACUUACAUGUUGGCCUGACCAGUCUCGCCUGAAUAUUAUCCCGGUCUUGUUAUUUGUGGAAAUGGACUGCUUCAGUAUCUGAGAAGUUGCAAAU